UGGGGAAUCUUGGACAAUGGGGGCAACCCUGAUCCAGCCAUGCCGCGUGAGUGAUGAAGGCCUUAGGGUCGUAAAGCUCUUUCGCCUGUGAAGAUAAUGACGGUAGCAGGUAAAGAAACCCCGGCUAACUCCGUGCCAGCAGCCGCGGUAAUACGGAGGGGACUAGCGUUGUUCGGAAUUACUGGGCGUAAAGCGCACGUAGGCGGACCAGAAAGUUGGGGGUGAAAUCCCGGGGGCUCAACCCCGGAACUGCCUCCAAAACUAUUGGUCUAGAGUUCGAGAGAGGUGAGUGGAAUUCCAAGUGUAGAGGUGAAAUUCGUAGAUAUUUGGAGGAACACCAGUGGCGAAGGCGGCUCACUGGCUCGAUACUGACGCUGAGGUGCGAAAGUGUGGGGAGCAAACAGGAUUAGAUACCCUGGGUAGUCCACACCGUAAAACGAUGAAUGCCAGUCGUCGGGUAGCAUGCUAUUCGGUGACACACCUAACGGAUUAAGCAUUCC
rnacentral:rRNA from 1 species